AUUGAACGCUGGCGGCAUGCUUUACACAUGCGAGUCGAACGGCAGCGGGGGCUUUGGCCUGGCGGCGAGGGGCGAACGGGUGAGUAAUGCCUAGGAACGUGCCCGGUAGUGGGGGAUAGCGCGCGGAAAGCGGGGAUAAUACCGGAUACGACCUGAGGGAGAAAGGGGGGGAUCUUCGGACCUCGCGCUAUCGGAGGAGCCGAUGGCAGAUUAGCUAGUUGGUGGGGUAAAGGCCUACCAAGGCGACGAUCAGUAACUGGUCUGAGAGGACGACCAGCCAGACUGGAACGGAGACACGGCCCAGACUCCUACGGGAGGCAGCAGUGGGGAAUAUUGGACAAUGGGCGAAAGCCUGAUCCAGCCAUGCCGCGUGUGUGAUGAAGGCCUUCGGGUUGUAAAGCACUUUUGGCCGGAACGAAAAGGACUUUGCCAAUACCACGGUAAGAUGACGGUACCCGCAGAAUAAGCACCGGCUAACUACGUG
rnacentral:rRNA from 1 species